UACGUAUGGGGCUAGCGUUGUUCGGAUUUACUGGGCGUAAAGGGCUUGUAGGUGGUGAGGUAAGUCGGGUGUGAAAUUUCCGGGCUUAACCCGGGAACUGCACUCGAAACUAUCUCGCUAGAGUACCGGAGAGGGAAACGGAAUUCCUGGUGUAGGGGUGAAAUCUGUAGAUAUCAGGAAGAACACCGGUGGCGAAGGCGGUUUCCUGGCCGGAUACUGACACUGAGGAGCGAAAGCUAGGGGAGCAAACAGG
rnacentral:rRNA from 1 species